rnacentral:tRNA from 1 species
GACCGCGCUGGACGACGAGGCGGCGACCCGGUUGUUCCUGGACCGGGCGCGGGCGGUGAAGCCGGGGUUCCACGCCGAGCGCGACCUC